rnacentral:rRNA from 1 species
AGCAGUCGCCGCGGGAAUACGGAGGGUGCAAGCGUUAAUCGGAAUUACUGGGCGUAAAGCGUGCGUAGGCGGUUUGUUAAGUCUGUUGUGAAAUCCCCGGGCUCAACCUGGGAAUGGCAAUGGAUACUGGCAAGCUAGAGUGUGUCAGAGGAUGGUGGAAUUCCCGGUGUAGCGGUGAAAUGCGUAGAGAUCGGGAGGAACAUCAGUGGCGAAGGCGGCCAUCUGGGACAACACUGACGCUGAGGCACGAAAGCGUGGGGAGCAAACAGGAUUAGAUACCCCCGUAGUCCCUGUCUCUUAUAC